rnacentral:pre_miRNA from 1 species
AGCUUUUCGGAUCCGUGCACAGAUUUCGCCAGACACCAACCAAUUAGGGCUGAUAAGACUUCCAAGGUAAGUGAAGUU